GCUGAAUAGCUAGCCAACUCCCAAAGGCCCCCCUCCCAACAACCUGCCUUUAAAAAUUUAUUUCCAACCCAACAAACCAUUUUUCCUCCCUAGUACGGGCGACAGAAAAGAAGAUAUUGAGCUAUAGUAAAGUACCGCAAGGGAAGGCUGAAAUAGAAGUGAAAUAACUUGUUUAAGCCCGAAAAAACAGAGAUAAAGCCUCGUACCUUUUGCAUCAUGAAUUAGCCAGAAUACUUAAGCAAAGAGAGCUUUAGUUUAAGCCCCCGAAACUAGACGAGCUACUCCGAGACAGCCUUUUAGGGCCAACCCCCCUCUGUUGCAAAAGAGUGGGAUGAUCUCCGAGUAGAGGCAAAAAACCAACCGAGCCUAGUUAUAGCUGGUUGCUUAGGAAAUGAAUAGAAGUUCAGCCUCCCGUAUUCUCCAGCCUCCCCCAUGACCCCACUAACUUCGGCCCCAGAAUACGAGAGAGUUACUCAAGUGAGGAACAGCUCCCUUGACCAAGGACACAACCUUCACAGGAGGUUAAGAAGCACAACAAGAAAGGUCACCUGUUUUAGUGGGCCUAAAAGCAGCCACCUAAAUAGAAAGCGUUAAACCUCAAACAGGCCCUCACCUCUAAUUACGCCCAGUAAUUCUAACCCCUAACCACUACUAAGCCACCCCAUGUUUCCAUGGGGGAGCCCCUGCUAAUAUGAGUAAUAAGGGAGGCUAGCCUUCGCUGCCUCCCUCCCGGCACAAGUGUAAGUCGCACUGGACCCCCCGGCGACAAAUAACGAACUCAAACUCAGAGAGCAGUCUGACCAGGGUUUCACACAAGAAGACCCCAGAUGCUUCAUCGUUAACCCAACACAGGAGUGCCCCGAGGAAAGACUAAAAGGAAAAAAAGGAACUCGGCAAACAUUGGCCUCGCCUGUUUACCAAAAACAUCGCCUCUUGUAACACCCUCAUAAGAGGUCCUGCCUGCCCAGUGACAAUUGUUAAACGGCCGCGGUAUAAUAACCGUGCUAAGGUACCUCAUAAGAGGUCCUGCCUGCCCAGUGACAAUUGUUAAACGGCCGCGGUAUAAUAACCGUGCUAAGGUAGCGCAAUCACUUGUCUCCUAAUUAGAGACCGGUAUGAACGGCAAGACGAGGGUCUAACUGUCUCCUUUCCCCAGUCAAUGAAAUUGAUCUUCCCGUGCAGAAGCGGGAAUACCUAUAUAAGACGAGAAGACCCUGUGAAGCUUUAGACACUAGAAAGCCCCACCAACUACCUAUCUACCAGCGUAAAUCCUAGGGCCCUUAAUCUACUUGUCUUUGGUUGGGGUGACCACGGAGGAAAAAUUAGCCUCCAUGAGGACUAGGGCUUCUACCCCCACAGCCAAGGCCCCCUAACCCAAGCAACAGAAUAUCUGACCAUAAAGAUCCGGCUUAACGCCGAUUAACAAACCAAGUUACUCCAGGGAUAACAGCGCAAUCCCCUCACAGAGCUCCUAUCGACGAGGGGGGUUACGACCUCGAUGUUGGAUCAGGGCAUCCUAAUGGUGCAACCGCUAUUAAGGGUUCGUUUGUUCAACGAUUAAAGCCCUACGUGAUCUGAGUUCAGGCCGGAGUAAUCCAGGCCAGAUUCUAUCUAUACCCCAUCUUUCCCAGUACGAAAGGGCCGGAAAGUAGAGGCCCAUGCCCCCGGUAUGCCUCCUCCCCAUCCAGCUGAAACCAACUUAAACAGAGAGGAGCCCCACGGCUAGUCUAAGAAAAUGACA
rnacentral:rRNA from 1 species